rnacentral:rRNA from 1 species
AUUGAACGCUGGCGGCAUGCCUUACACAUGCAAGUCGAGCGGCAGCGCGGGGGCAACCCUGGCGGCGAGCGGCGGACGGGUGAGUAAUGCAUCGGAACGUGUCCUCUUGUGGGGGAGUAACCAGUCGAAAGACUGGCUAAUACCGCAUGAGCUCGUAAGAGGAAAGCAGGGGACCCGCAAGGGCCUUGCGCGAGAGGAGCGGCCGAUGCCCGAUUAGCUAGUUGGCGGGGUAAAAGCCCACCAAGGCGACGAUCGGUAGCUGGUCUGAGAGGACGACCAGCCACACUGGGACUGAGACACGGCCCAGACUCCUACGGGAGGCAGCAGUGGGGAAUUUUGGACAAUGGGGGAAACCCUGAUCCAGCCAUGCCGCGUGUGUGAAGAAGGCCUGG